ACACACACACACACUCGCUCUAUUUUCCCUAAUUUUCUGACUUGUUCUGCUGGUCUUGUUUGUUUUUCCAGAUAAAGUUUGGAAUCGUUUCAUCAUUUCGCCUAAAAGCCAAACGACCCCGGUGGCCUUCUGACGUGCCGGCCGUGCUGUCAGCGCAGGACGGUCCUGUGGUUCGUCGUCUUCCCUUCAUCCCAGAUGUUUGGGAAGCACCUACCGCCAACCCGUGAAUGACUCUGGGGACGCGAGAGGGACGAGACGAUCGCUGCCCUGCUCUUCUGGACCUGAGCCCCUUCCGCGAUGCCCGGCCUGGGCUCCUCCAGUACCACUGGUCCGCAGCAGGAAAGAAAGUUAUCCGUGGUGGAGGCCCCACCUGGGAGGCCGAGGCAGCCUCCCAGCCCAGGGAGCAUCUUCACAGUGACGGCCGACGGGCCCACAGAGUGGAGGGGAUUAGAAGUUUCAAAACAGCCCAGCAAGAGGCAGGACUGAGCCGAGGAGAGACUGAAAACUGGCGGAGUCCGGAAACAGAUACGCGAAGUUUCCUUAUCUUUGGGCUGCAGAUGUCCGGAUAGGAAACUCCGGCAGGAGAUCCGAAAGGGCAUUUUUUUUAAAUCACUCAAAUGAAAAUACACAGUAUAGGUGACUCCAUGGAAAAAUAAUAAAGGGCAGGUUUUUUUUUGGUGGUUGGUGUGUGUGUUUUAUUUAAAUAAGCGUGAGGAGACUGUGUGGGGAAGCCAGGGAGAGCAGCCCGGGCUACAAGGAAAAUUACUUCACGGCCCUAUUUUUAAAAGGAGUUUAACAGAGGCCAGGGGACCGGACUUGGGCCCCUGGAUGCUCAACUUCGGGGGAUCCCUGAAGGUACCAGGUGGGCUGCAGAGGGGAAGUCUGGCCUGACAAAAAUCUAGCCUAAAAGCAGGGCAAUCCCAACUGACACCCAAGUGAUUUUAAUGAUAAGAGUACAAGCGACAGAGCACCUGUAUUUGAAGGUUGGUUUGUUUUCUGUAGUUAACUGUCAGCUCCCGCCCAGGUCGAUGCCCCCCGGG